GAUGGUUUCAGAACUUUGCCAAGCAAUUCCUCAACAUAUCUCACUAUGCUCCUCUGCUUACUCGGAUUGUUCUCCAUGACAAGACCCCCAGAAUCAUUCCUUAUCCCAUAUUUAUCUGGACCAAGUGAAAACCCGAGCGCAGAGAUCACGGAUGAGGUCCUUCCUGUUUGGAUACACUCUGCUCCCGGUGUCUGUGCUCUUGAGUCACCACAAGCCCAUCACCCUCUCAUAAGGGCUCUGCUUCAUCAUUCCCCAGCUGCUGCUCUUAUUGGGCUAAGGGAUGAAGACUACACAGGCUGUCGAGUUCUCCUCCAGGAUACUCACUGACUCCCAGGUGGCCUACUCUAUCAACCCAUGAGCAUGGUCAGCCCUGAGACACUGUCAGGAAGUGAGAGGCCACUGUAGGAGUGUCACGCUAACAGCUAACCCAGCGGCCCCCAUGAAGGCUGACGCUUGGCAUCCCUGGAGAAUGGGUCACACUUUUACCUCAUCGCAUAGCCAUAGUCUCUGCCUCCACAGCCUUCAUUUUCUCACUUUUUCUAUCAAUGCCCAAGAAAAGAAUGUUUUUCCAUGCAAAACCCAGCAAAGAAAUAAAGUCCCCAAGCCUGUGUGCAGGGUUAAAGGAACCUCAUGAGAGUGAAGCACUAGGCUGCGAAGGGGAGAAACCCACUUGGGAAAAGCCCACCACUUCGGGGAACCUGGAUGACGGCCCAUAGAGCAUAGUGCCACAAACAGUGACUCUGAAAGUUCGUGUUCCAUGGUUCCAAGAUUUGAAGUAGUGUUACUCCUCAGAGGCCUUUGUUACUAAUCCCCACGGUGGGCUUUUUCCACCACAGGUUUUAACCUAGCUUUGAACUAUGUUCAAGUCCUAUGAGGUUGCAAAGCACCACCCCAAUAUUCUUAUACCUAUAACGGGGCACAGAAGCUACUGAAGCAUUUGGUAGGGCUGUGGCUGCCUGUGCAGUGGGCUAUGUGAAAAUCAACUGGAGUCUCCUGGAGAGUGGGCUCUGGAAGUCUCCUCAGUCAUCAACGCAGGCUCUUGACCUCUCGUGCACUAUAUGACCAAAGUCUACGCAGGCUAUGUGGGCUAUUUGCGAUUCAAGUCCAGCUAUGUGCUGCUUCUAACCCAGGCAGUAUUCCAGACUGCAGUCCAGCUGAGCGUGGAAUGUGUAUCCUGGUGCCCGGAUUCCACACUUCACUGCCUUGGUGAUUCAGCCGACCCUCAUCACUGUGACUGCAAUUCAUCAGAAAGGGCUCAGCCUGUGAUCAGCAUUCAGUUUGUAGUUUAUAGGAGUUAUUUUGCAGUCACUUCUAGAAUUUUCCUAAUAAGAAGAAUAUCUAAUGCCUAUCAGCCAAAUGCCAAGAGGAAGGAGUUCAGAGCCCCGCUAUGAGUCAGAACCCAGAUGGGCCGCACCCAAAGGAGCUGAGCAGUAUC
rnacentral:lncRNA from 1 species